GCAUCGUAGGCGUCUACCAGAAUCUCUCAGAGCAUGAUGGAGAAGAGUCAUUCUGAAGAGCGGCUGACGGGUCUGGAACGUGAGUUCAGCUCAAGUAGCUCUCUACACCGACGGGACUUGGAAACUAUUGCCGAACAACAAGCUGUUGUCAACCGGCUAUGGCAGAGUCAGCUAUCUGAAAUGAGUUUUAAUGAGGCUCAAUGCACCGAGACUAAGGAACGUCUACGCACUCUACAAAGGUCGCGCCGAUGACUUGGCCGCGAGGCUACAACGCUGUAACUUCCGCUAUACACCGCCACAACCGAACUUCGACUCUAAUAGAGUUGCUGGCACGGACUGCAGACUGAUCGACGUCGUCCAUGACAAAUACUGUACUGCACUUGAGACUGCGGCUGGUGG